AUUGAACGCUGGCGGCAGGCCUAACACAUGCAAGUCGAACGAGUGGCGGACGGGAGAGUAAUGUAGGGGAAACUGCCUGAUGGAGGGGGAUAACUACGGGAAACGGUAGCUAAUACCGCAUACCAUCGGAUGUGCACAGAUGGGAGUAGCUAGUAGGUGGGGUAAAGGCUCACCGAGUCGACGAUCCCUAGCUGGUCUGAGAGGAUGACCAGCCACACGGGAACUGAGACACGGUCCAGACUCCUACGGGAGGCAGCAGUGGGGAAUAUUGCACAAUGGGCGCAAGCCUGAUGCAGCCAUGCCGCGUGUGUGAAGAAGGCCUUCGGGUUGUAAAGUACUUUCAGCGGGGAGGCGUUACCCGCAGAAGAAGCACCGGCUAACUCCGUGCCAGCCGCCGCGGUAAUUC
rnacentral:rRNA from 1 species